rnacentral:sRNA from 1 species
GCUGGGUGUGGUGAUGCACGCCUGUAAUCUCAGCAACUUGGGAGGCUGAGGCAGGACAAUCAAAAGUUUGAGGCUAGCCUCAGCAACUGAGACUCUCAGCAACUAGGUGAGAGCCACAGCAACUAAGUGAGACCCUGCCUCAA